CUACCCAGCUCCAGUGGCGGGCAGCCAGGCAUCUGGUCCCUCAGUCUCAGUCAUGCAGCUGUGACUGACAGGCAGCAGGGAGCUGAAGCUCUGAUGUGAGGAUCUGCUUUGGCUUCUAGAAAAAUAGCAGCAGCAGCAGCAGCGGCGGCGGCAGCAGCAGUGACAGCAGGCUCCAUUGAAAAGCAGCCCUGCCAGCACAGCUGAGGUUGAUGCCCCGCUGCCCAGGGACCCACACCGGAGGGUAAAACAGCAGCUAAAAAGAAAAAGAACAAACCAAUGUGUACCUUCAACAUUUUGCUUGGAAAUCUCCUCAGUGAAAUUUAUAAGUUCAUCAUUCACAAGUUCUGCUUUCCACAUUAUUGUGGGACACAAUUCUGGUAAGCUCUCUGCCACCAUAACAAGGAUCCUGGGUUAUCAUGGGAUUGGGACUCGUGGCUUUAUAAGCAGCAGCAGCAGAGAGACCUGAGCUAGCAUACUCAGCUCCCUCACCAUGUGAUAUCGCCUGCCACCUUGAGAUUCUACAGAGAGUCCCACCAGCAAGAAUGCCCUCACCAGAUGUGGCCCCUCGACCUUGGACUUCUCAGCCUCUAUAACUGUAAGAAACAAAUUUCGUUUCUUUAUAAAUUAUCCAGUUUUGGGUAUUCUGUUAUAAGCAACAGAA
rnacentral:lncRNA from 10 species